GAUGAGCGCUGGCGGCGUGCCUAAUACAUGCAAGUCGAGCGAACGGACGAGAAGCUUGCUUCUCUGAUGUUAGCGGCGGACGGGUGAGUAACACGUGGAUAACCUACCUAUAAGACUGGGAUAACUUCGGGAAACCGGAGCUAAUACCGGAUAAUAUUUUGAACCGCAUGGUUCAAAAGUGAAAGACGGUCUUGCUGUCACUUAUAGAUGGAUCCGCGCUGCAUUAGCUAGUUGGUAAGGUAACGGCUUACCAAGGCAACGAUGCAUAGCCGUCCUGAGAGGGUGAUCGGCCACACUGGAACUGAGACACGGUCCAGACUCCUACGGGAGGCAGCAGUAGGGAAUCUUCCGCAAUGGGCGAAAGCCUGACGGAGCAACGCCGCGUGAGUGAUGAAGGUCUUCGGAUCGUAAAACUCUGUUAUUAGGGAAGAACAUAUGUGUAAGUAACUGUGCACAUCUUGACGGUACCUAAUCAGAAAGCCACGGCUAACUACGUG
rnacentral:rRNA from 1 species